rnacentral:rRNA from 1 species
GACAGAGGCCCCAAGCGUUAGGCGGAAUCACUGGGCUUAAAGCGUGUGUAGGCGGACGCCUAAGUGUCUUGUGAAAUCCCACGGCUCACCCGUGGAACUGCUGGGCAUACUGGGCGUCUUGGGCCAACUAGGGGCAGCCGGAACAAGCGGUGGAGCGGUGAAAUGCGUAGAGAUGUGGAGGAACACCAGUGGCGAAGGCGACUUUCUGGGCUGUAACUGACGCUGAGGCGCGAAAGCGUGGGGAGCAAACAGG